GUUAUGUAUUAUUUGUCAUACAUGGCAUUCAUUUGGAUUGUGUCUAACCUCUAAGACUGUGCUAUGAAUCCGUCGUUCCUCCUCCGUUUGAUUGCAGAUUUACUGUUUAUCAACCAAAAUCGUCCACCAAGUAUAAAGGAAUCUGGAGUAAGAGAAGUUUAUUUCAAAGCAGGAGAAAAUUUGAAAUUAAUUUGUGUAGCGAAUGGAG